rnacentral:rRNA from 1 species
UACGUAGGUGGCAAGCGUUGUCCGGAUUUAUUGGGUUUAAAGGGUGCGUAGGCGGUUCUAUAAGUCAGUUGUGAAAUCCGGCAGCUUAACUGUCGAUGUGCCAUUGAUACUGCAGGACUUGAGUACAGACGAGGUAGGCGGAAUUGACGGUGUAGCGGUGAAAUGCUUAGAUAUCGUCAAGAACACCGAUAGCGAAGGCAGCUUACUAGACUGUAACUGACGCUGAUGCACGAAAGUGUGGGGAUCAAACAGG